GAGCGUAUGGUCUGGAGGUAUGAUACCUGCUUGGGGAGUGGGUAGGCUGCUAGGUUUAAGUAUCCUGUUUCAUGAAUCUAUCUAUUGAUUGCAGGGGGUCUUUGGUUCAAAUCCGAAUUCGCCCC